AGAACUUUAAACACAACUCACUGCUUACACUCAAUUACCAAAUUUCCAACACACUCCUAGCAAAAUUAUACACAUGUAUGGCUAUCAUUAACACUAUUUUGCCAACUGUCUGGCACACUUUCACAUGUGAAAACUGUUUUAGAUAAUUAGUUCACUUUGCAAUCAGCCUAAGCACUAUAAAUAAGCCACAGGUAAGCUGUCUGUGUGGAGUACAAUGGAAGGAGCAGUAAGAGUGAGAAGAGUGAGAAUCAGAGGAGGCCGAGGAGGCCGAGGGAGAGGACGUGGAGGUGAAGAAGUUGGAGGAAGAGGACGUGGAGGUGAAGAAGCGAGAGGGUUAGAGGAAGUUAGAGGAAGAGGACAAGGAGGAGCAAGAAGAGGACGAGGAGGGGAAAGAGGAAGGGUAAGAAGAGUAAGAAAUAGAAUAACUGAUGACAUCAGAGCUACAAUAGUGGACCAUGUCAUCAACCAUGGGAUGACCCUGAGGGAAGCUGGCCAACGGGUUCAGCCUAAUUUGAGCCGCUACACUGUGGCAAGCAUCAUUAGGACAUUUCGAAAUGAGAAUCGAAUUGCUAGACGUCCAGAUGUUGGGGGCAGAGGAAGAAUGUUCACUCCAGAGCAAGAGACCCAUAUAGUGAACAUGGUGAUUGCCAAUAAUGCAAUAAGACUGCGCGAAAUACAGCAGCACAUAAUUGAUAAUGACACCAUCUUUCAAAAUAUACACAGUGUAAGCAUUUCUGCACUAAGUCAUGUACUUGCGCGCCACACAAUAAGAAUGAAGCAAAUUUACAGAGUUCCUUUCGAGAGAAAUGGUGGUAACAUAACCAUGUGUGCAGCUAUAAGCCAAAAUGGUGUUGUUCACCAUCAUGCAACCAUAGGCCCAUACAACACUGCACACAUUAUUGCAUUCCUGGACACCUUACAUGACAUGCUCACUGUUCAGAGACCAGAGCAUACCCGAUAUGUCAUCAUAUGGGACAAUGUUAGUUUCCAUAGGGCUGCUUUGGUCCGCAACUGGUUUACAGACCACCCAUCCUUCAUGGCACUCAACCUCCCUCCAUACUCUCCAUUCUUAAAUCCCAUCGAGGAGUUCUUCUCUGCCUGGCGCUGGAAAGUGUACGACCGUCAUCCUCAUCAACAGGUAGCCCUUUUACAGGCAAUGGAGGAGGCAUGUGGAGAUAUUGACCAGGCAUCAUGUCAGGCCUGGAUACGGCAUUCAAGGAGAUAUUUUCCCUGGUGCCUUGGACUGGAGGAUAUUGCAUGCGAUGUGGACGAAAUUUUGUGGCCGGACCCAGAAAGACGACAUGAUGUAGGCUGAUUGUCUUUUUUUUCCCUUUUUUUUUUUGAAAUUACUAUUUUUUUUUUUUACUUUUUUUUGGUUUUGAUUAGUGUGAAUAAACACCAAUACUUGAAGUUUGGAUCCUUGUAU
ensembl:lncRNA